GAGUUGUAAUUUGCAGAGGAUGUUGUGGAAUCUGUAUGGACUCAAGUUUUUUGGAAAAAGACGCCAUGGAGAGUGACAGACUCGUACUUUCCAAUACAUUUUCCGUGUACAGCUCCUUCAAAGAGUCGAGUUGUUUGGGAAUGCAGCUCAAAAUGGGACGUAAAUUUGUUCCAAAGCUAAAUACCGGCUAGAGACCGAUAGCGCACAAGUAGAGUGAUCGAAAGAUGAAAAGCACUUUGAAAAGAGAGUUAAACAGCACGUGAAAUUGUUGAAAGGGAAGCUUGCGUCAUCAGCAAUGACGUCACUGUUCAGCCUUUUGGUGUAUUCAGUGCCCGUCAGGCCAGCAUCGAUUGGGGUAGUUGGACAAAAGUGUUGGAAAUGUA
rnacentral:rRNA from 1 species